GAUGAACGCUGGCGGCGUGCCUAAUACAUGCAAGUCGAGCGAACGGACGAGAAGCUUGCUUCUCUGAUGUUCGCGGCGGACGGGUGAGUAACACGUGGAUAACCUACCUAUAAGACUGGGAUAACUUCGGGAAACCGGAGCUAAUACCGGAUGAUAUUUUGAACCGCAUGGUUCAAAAGUGAAAGACGGUCUUGCUGUCACUUAUAGAUGGAUCCGCGCUGCAUUAGCUAGUUGGUAAGGUAACGGCUUACCAAGGCAACGAUGCAUAGCCGACCUGAGAGAGGGAUCGGCCACACUGGAACUGAGACGCGGUCCAGACUCCUACGGGAGGCAGCAGUAGGGAAUCUUCCGCAAUGGGCGAAAGCCUGACGGAGCAACGCCGCGUGAGUGAUGAAGGGCUUCGGAUCGUAAAACUCUGUUAUUAGGGAAGAACAUAUGUGUAAGUAACUGUGCACAUCUUGACGGUACCUAAUCAGAAAGCCACGGCUAACUACGUG
rnacentral:rRNA from 1 species